CGCUGGCGGCAUGCCUUACACAUGCAAGUCGAACGGCAGCAUGGGAGCUUGCUCCUGAUGGCGAGUGGCGAACGGGUGAGUAAUAUAUCGGAACGUACCUUGUAGUGGGGGAUAACUAGUCGAAAGAUUAGCUAAUACCGCAUACGCCCUUUGGGGGAAAGUGGGGGAUCUGAAAGGACCUCAUGUUAUAAGAGCGGCCGAUAUCUGAUUAGCUAGUUGGUGAGGUAAAGGCUCACCAAGGCAUCGAUCAGUAGCUGGUCUGAGAGGACGACCAGCCACACUGGAACUGAGACACGGUCCAGACUCCUACGGGAGGCAGCAGUGGGGAAUUUUGGACAAUGGGGGCAACCCUGAUCCAGCAAUGCCGCGUGAGUGAAGAAGGCCUUCGGGUUGUAAAGCUCUUUUGUCCGGGAAGAAACGGUGGUCUCUAAUACAGAUUACUAAUGACGGUACCGGAAGAAUAAGCACCGGCUAACUACGUGCCAGCAGCCGCGGUAAU
rnacentral:rRNA from 1 species